rnacentral:rRNA from 1 species
AAUCAACGCUGGCGGCGUGCCUAACACAUGCAAGUCGAACGCGAAAGCCCCGCAAGGGUGAGUAGAGUGGCAAACGGGUGAGUAACACGUGGGUGACCUGCCUUAGAGUGGGGGAUAACGUCCCGAAAGGGACGCUAAUACCGCAUAACAUCCUGCCUUUGAAGAGGUGGAGAUCAAAGCCGGGGACCGCAAGGCCUGGCGCUCAAAGAGGGGCCCGCGCCUGAUUAGCUAGUUGGUGGGGUAANGGUCUCACCAAGGCAACGAUCAGUAUCCGGCCUGAGAGGGGCGGACGGACACACUGGGACUGAGACACGGCCCAGACUCCUACGGGGAGGCAGCAGUGGGGUAAUUGUUCGCAAUGGGCGCAAGCCUGACGACGC